GCCUGGGCAAUGGAGUGAGACCCUUUAUCUAAAACAGUAUAAAAACAAGAAAAUAAAUCUCGACUAGGCUCUACUCUUUCUGCCCUUCUCACUACUGCACUCGACUAGUCGGUG
rnacentral:sRNA from 1 species